AUCUACGGCCAUGCCACCCUGAACAACAUGCCACCCUUAGAUCCCGUCUGAUCUUGGAAGCUAAGCAGGGUCGGGCCUGGUUAGUACUUGGAUGGGAGACCACCUAGGAAGACCAAGUGCUGUAGGUG
rnacentral:rRNA from 1 species